GGUAGUAGUGGAGGGUGAACGUGGAGGGAGGACGGAAUGUUCGGAUUAUCGCGAGAACCCCGUUGGAAUCCGUGGCACCGCGGGGACGGAAAACGGGAGCGGAAAACGGGGGCGACAGAUAAGAACCGUAGCUGGUGUGUCACGUAGCGCUUUGAGUGUGAUGGUUGUUCUACUCCUACUCCUACUCCUAUCUCUUCUCUUUCUCUUUUCCCUCCACCCUCUUUACCCUCUCCCUCUCUCUCUCUCUCUUUCUCUUCUUCUUCUUCUUCAUCUCUUCCACCAAUUCUCUUGCACACGGACAUACUAACACCAAUGCCUAACUACGCAUCGACUCCAUCUAUUCGACACCCACGCUGCUCUUCCAACCCCUUACACCAAUCCUCCCCCGUUCAAUAUACGAGCCCCAUAGCCAAGAAUCGGAUCUUCGUCCUAGCAUUUCCGUCAAACGUCCUACCACCAUGUCUCUAACCCUUUUAAGUAUCGUCCUUCGCAAAAGGUACAGGUCUUCGACGUCGCUUCUUACGACGUUUCCCUUUCCUUGAUAAUAACGUCGUCUAUGCCAUAUCAUUUAACGAUUUACCAUUUUUAUCGUCUAGGAGAAGUGGUAAGAAAAGGAAGCGAGAAUUGUGUGUGUGUUUUUUUUAGAGAUAUCAAACGGAUGUAAGAGGAAGAAAAAAAAAGAAUAUGAAAGGAAAGAAAAGAAAAGAAAAAGAGAAAAAAAAAAAGAGAGAAAGGUUAUUAGUAGUUAGAUGCGAUUAAAAAGGACUCCUGAGAAAGUUGACUUUGAUUUUUGUCGUUACCGAAUCGAGAACGUCCUCUCGUACAUAGAAAAAUGAGUUAAAAAGGUUGGUAUAGCUCGAGCAUCGGUGCCGUAACUCAGUUUCGUUAACUUCGAGUUCGUGGGAAGAGCAAGGAAGCGCGCAAGGGUUAUGGCACUCGAGAUAGCAAGGCAAAGCGUGAGUGGAACGGGGAAAGCAAUCAGAACUUGGGCCAUUGCUGGAUAUUACGGAGACGUGAGAGAUGUCUCCUCAAUCAUAUUAAUUGCCUAGAUAACCGCUACUUCGACGUCGGCCACCGUCGCCAACUCCUUCUCCGAGAUGUCUCCUUUCGUCUCGCGAGUCUUAUGUACGCGUAAAAUUAUCUCUAAGAGUUCAUUUUAUAAAUUAUUUUUCUAAUGGCCGUGCCCAUUUCCCCGUUACGUCUAAAUUCACUCAUUGUUAAUACGUUACUAUGUUACGCUUUUGCAUCGGUGUCAACCGAAGGAAAUCACUUAUCCGGAAAUAUCGUUCAAUGUAAACGAAACGCGAUCCAAUGGGAAACAAUGGCUCUCGACGAAAUUUAUUAUCGCGUCAAAAGGACCCUCGUUAUUUCGCGAUACUAAAAUUACCUGGCACGCAUUACGCUAAUGCAAUCCCGUCUAUGUUACGCACGAAUGUGUGGAUUUGUCACGAUAUUUGUACGCGCACAUUAUUGCGAUGAUAUCGAUACCGGACGAUAAUUAUGUUUCACCGUGUUCCACGAACAAGAAAUUCGUACAUUCGCGAUAGAAAAUUUUCAUUAUUUCUGAACCAUAAAAUAGGAAUUAGCUUCCUAGUAGUAACAAGGCGUUCCCAUCAUUUUCGAAAGUCUUCGUAAGAAAAAUCACUGACGUAUGCAACAGGUAUUGCUUUCCACUUGUAAGCUUCUAUAACGACUCCUGCUGACUCUUCACGACUUUCUUGAGUGCCAUCAUCGCCCAGGAUUCGCGAUCUUGGCUGCUUCACCGACAAUUUUCUUUUCCAAGAUAUAACCGAAUGUACGCGCUGUGAAGGAAAAAAAAAAAAAAAGAAAAAAGAAAAAAAAAAGAAAAAAACAAAAAAAUGUACACGGACCGUGUUUUGCAGCAUCCCUUCUCUUUACGUAUAUGUAUACGUAUACGUGUCCCACGAGAUACGGUAAACCUAGAUUUAAUGAAUACGAAUCGCCAACAUCGACCAUAAUUCGUAUGCAUAACAAAAGCCAUACCUUUCCUGCUCCUUCACAUACUUAUGACCGUUUAUACCGUAUACUAAAUGUCGCUACGUGCCGACCAAAGUGCGACUCAGCGUAUAUAAAACGAACCGACCAAGUCUCCUCAAAACAGACGAGUUUACUUUGAGCCAUCCUGAUUCAGCUCAACUCGACGUAAUCUUAUACCAACAGAUACACGUCUGCCUAUGAUCAAAUCCGAAAAACGUUCGGAUUAGUUCACCUUUACAUAUACAUAUAUAUAACACACACACACAUAUAUAUAUAUAUAACAAAAAAGAAAAAGAAAAAAGAAAAACAAAAAGUCCUGUUUAAGUAACGGUCAACCAAGCGGAAUAUCAAAAAAUUUAGCCAAAGCUCGUAAAGUCCGUGCCGUCGAAAUAGCUCGUAUCGGUGGAUUCACGCGAGCAGAGCAAUAUCGAUCGUGCGCCAUCGUUCUCCAUAAAACGCAAGAUCGAAAUCAGAGAAUGGGGGAAGGCGGCUCUGCGGUGCAGUAAUGUCGCAAAAUAUUCGCGUUUUAUUAGGUCGAUCGACCGGGGAUAAUCGGCGACAAUCAAGUUUCACGGCAGUGAUUGGCCCGGCAUAGUCCGAUGCCAAAUGCAGCUGCAUAUGCAUGAUGCAAUCUCAUAUCCACAUCCGCGUCCCGCGUUAUGCCACUGUUCGAGCUACGCACAUGCCGAGGAGAAACAAGAGGAGAAGGGAAGAGACAGAGAAAGAGAGAGCAAGCGAGAGAACAAGAGAGAGAGAGAGAGAGAGAGAGAGAGAAUGAAUGAGGAAGAGGAAGAGAGGGUGAGUUGCAAUGGGCAACGAGAAUACGGUCGCCGUGUGGGUGGUAGUUUCGAUUCCCACCGCGGUGUGUCAUUACUCGUCAUUAUCCACCUAUCAAAUCGCUCAGCAAUAACUAUCUGACCGUUGCUGUUACGCACUCUCCCCUCUUCCUACGGAGCCUGGUCCACAUGAGCCUGGCUUACCGGCAAUCAAAGCGUCUCCAUUCCUGAACCACUCCCGGCUAGCCGCACUGGCAACCACUGUUCAAGGCUGAUCAUCGAAAUUCCACGUUCGCUGCCGGGACACCCGUUCGAAUACUCGUUGCACUACCACUAGAUGAUUGAUUUCUAUCACGCAUUAACGAUCGCCAACGUCUACGUGGUUGUUUGUUUCCCACCGGCAGCAAAAACGCGAAAGAACGCGCAUCGAUUUGUAGCGAAUUUCGAAUCGUACGAAUAUCGAUGAGGAAGAAAAUGGAUACUCCAUGAUAAAAAACGAGUACUGCCGAGAGAUUACUAUUUAUUUAUUAUAUCCGUAAUAAUUAUUUAAUUCUUUUAAUGCGAACGAGUGCACCGAUACAGCGGAUUAUUUUUCGGGCAUUAUCGGAAAUUGGCGGGCGAGGGUGUUUUUACAAUCGAUGACCAAACAAAAUACAAAUUACAGAAGUAUGUUCCGAGGAAUGGGCAAUUAAUUACAUAAUCCAAAAGUGGAAACAGCAUUGUACGAGAGAUUUUUCUUUUACCAUUAAACGUAUAAUUGUAAAAUUUUCAUUGUAACGUGCGUAUUUAUACCAGAAGUAGAUCUCUUCCAUUCUACUGGACAUAUCCCGAACAUGUGAGUGCACUGAUAUUUCAAAUUAUACAUUCUACGCGCGAUAGUUAUUCUCGUUUAAAAAUUUAAUGACAUUUGUCUGAAAGCAUCGCAUCGUGACGGACGGAACGAAGAAGUAUAGCUCUAUAUAUAUAUAUAAAACUCUCUAUACAUGUAUAUAUGUUUUAUAUAUAUAUAUAUAUAUAUAAAACGAAAGGACGAAAUAGAAAUGCGUCACAUUCCCCGUGUAACAUAAUACGAUUUAAUGAAUGAACGAAAGAAUCUUUAAUGUUGUUACAAAGGAUUCAAGAACCAGACGGCAAUACGCACGAGCGUUUUACAUUUCGCACAAGUGUAUAAAUUAACGCCCGAGCAACCAGUACAUUUUCGCGAAACGGUGGAAACACGAGAAAUUAAUACCGGCAACACGGUGACCACGCGGCACCGUACUUGAAAGCGGAACGUAACAACCGUAAAAACGUCUCGAUGAACGUUCACCAGCAGGCCGACCUUAACGAGAAAAAAAAAAAAAAAGAAAAAAAAUAACGAAAAAAAAAAGAAAAAAAGAAAAAGAAAUGGUUAAGUCGACAUUAUCUCGUCGUGAUACAAGAUGAAAC